GAAAUGACUCUAAUUUUUAUUUUUAAAAUUUAUUUUCAAUUAUAUUUAGUGAACCGACAGCCUGGAAAUUAAUAUUAAUAUUUUAGUGCAACUACCAUGAUAACCGAACCCAAAACCGAUUGAAAAGUCGAAAACCGAUUGAAAUCGAUGAUUUGGGCCGAAUCAAACCGAAUCAAACCGGUUCGACCCAAACCAUCUAGAAAAUUCUCUUUUUCUUUUAUCUCCAACGCUAAACUCACUCCCCCUCACCAGCGCACCUCCACUCCAUCGCCAUUGCCACCACAGCGCCACUGCCGCCACCCCCUCUCCCUUUUCUUCUUCCUCUCCUUCUUCCUCUUCUUCUUCUCCUUCUUCUUCUUCUUUCCUUUCUUCCUUUUUCUUUCUUUUUCUUUCCUUGUGCCUACGUUCUUGGCGAGCCAGAGGCAACGCAGCAGAGCCGCGCGCCACUGCCACCCCGCCAC
rnacentral:lncRNA from 1 species